rnacentral:tRNA from 1 species
AGAUAAGUUGGCAGAAUAAUGUAUUAGACUUAGAAUCUACAAAUGGGUAUAAACCCACUUAUU